rnacentral:rRNA from 1 species
AGCGAACGCUGGCGGCAGGCUUAACACAUGCAAGUCGAACGCCCCGCAAGGGGAGUGGCAGACGGGUGAGUAACACGUGGGAACGUACCCUUUGGUUCGGAAUAACUUGGGGAAACUAAAGCUAAUACCGGAUAAGCCCUUAUGGGGAAAGGUUUACUGCCGAAGGAUCGGCCCGCGUCUGAUUAGCUAGUUGGUGAGGUAAUGGCUCACCAAGGCGACGAUCAGUAGCUGGUCUGAGAGGAUGAUCAGCCACACUGGGACUGAGACACGGCCCAGACUCCUACGGGAGGCAGCAGUGGGGAAUAUUGGACAAUGGGGGCAACCCUGAUCCAGCCAUGCCGCGUGAGUGAUGAAGGCCUUAGGGUUGUAAAGCUCUUUUACACGGGACGAUAAUGACUGUACCGGGAGAAUAAGCCCCGGCUAACUUCGUGCCAGCCGCCGCGGUAA